AAUGAUCUAAAUCUAAAAUCUUUCACAAGGUGCAACUUUCCAACGAUAAACAAGAACAGGAAGUGAAUCUUGAAUACAACCAGACUACAAGUUCCCUUCACUAUUAAAGUAUCUCCUUUGCUGUCACCCGAGUCUGACUUAACCUGCGUUAAACUUCCAUCAUUCUAGCCUAACAGUUAUUAAUAUCUUUAUUUCUUUUUGAACAAAACAUAUUUCCUAUCAGACUGGAAAUUUUGACACACUCAAAUGUCUGAAGUCCCAAGAGGAACACAGCUAAAAUAAAGGAAUUGAGCAGCAAAGCAACUCAGAAAAGCAGAAAUGAAAACAGAUGUUAAACCUCUUUAAAACAAAUUUUUACUAAUAGCCUCAACCAAAGCUAUUUCAGUCAACUACUAGAAAUAUUCUACCUAGUCAAAAGGUCUCAACAAGCUUCACAGGUCAUCAGCUCCUCAAGGGUGUGGGCUAAUUCUUUCCAAGGUUCUAUCUACCACCCAGCACCAUGCAUGUCAUGACCCUCCAUCAUGGGUGACUUUGCCCCCCAAGUGUCAUUUGGCAUUAUCUGGAGACAUUUUCAGUUGUCAUGACUGGGGUAAGACUGGAGGAAGGAGGUUUUGCUACCAGCAUGUACUGGGUGGAGGCCAGUGAUGCUGCCAGCCACCCUGCAGUGCACGGGACCGCCCCCACCACAAAGGGUUAUGCAACUAAAAUAUCAAAAGUGCUGAGGGUGAGAAAACUCUAGCUUAGGUCAAUGAUGCCACUGCCCUUCAUGUUCAAAUACAAAAUCACUGAUCAUGUGGCUUCACGUAGCCUUCUGGCAACAGCUUACGGGCCCUUUUAAACUGGAUACAUUAGGUCUGUUCCCUGGUAAGACUCUGGCCCCUGAGACUGUCACUUUUGAAAUUCCUGCAGUGUUAAAAGCCUGAGUCUCCUUUCACAAUUAGCCAGCAAUUCCAUAAGAAAAUAGCAAAAUAGCACUGAAGGUUUCUGAGCCUGUUUCCUCAAAGGAGAUGCGAGUUCUCACCUUCCAGGGCUGUUCUGAGGAGGGAAAGUGGCACAUCAAUGGGCCCACCUGCAGAGUGUCUAGGAUGAGCCUGGCGUGUGCUCGCUGACUGCCAAGGUGACGUAGUGCCAAGUACAAUGCCGGACACAUGGUAUCCAACACCCAAAUACUGAACUGAGCCCAAAAGUGUGGGAACUUUUUGUUCGAGAAAGGACAUAUCUUGUGAAUAUAAGAAUGAAAGGAUUAUAUGCUUCUCUCUAGGUAAGAUGUGGAAAUGAUUUUAUAAGUCCACACUUCAAUCCUUAAAAAAAAAAAAAAAAA